GACGAACGCUGGCGGCGUGCUUAACACAUGCAAGUCGUACGGUAAGGCCCUUUCGGGGGUACACGAGUGGCGAACGGGUGAGUAACACGUGAGUAACCUGCCCACAACUUUGGGAUAACGCUAGGAAACUGGUGCUAAUACUGGAUAUGUGCUCCUGCUGCAUGGUGGGGGUUGGGAAGCUCCGGCGGUUGUGGAUGGACUCGCGGCCUAUCAGCUUGUUGGUGGGGUAGUGGCCUACCAAGGCGGCGACGGGUAGCCGGCCUGAGAGGGUGACCGGCCACAUUGGGACUGAGAUACGGCCCAGACUCCUACGGGAGGCAGCAGUGGGGAAUAUUGCACAAUGGGCGCAAGCCUGAUGCAGCAACGCCGCGUGCGGGAUGACGGCCUUCGGGUUGUAAACCGCUUUCAGCAGGGACGAAGCUUUUUGUGACGGUACCUGCAGAAGAAGCACCGGCUAACUACGUG
rnacentral:rRNA from 1 species